rnacentral:lncRNA from 1 species
GAGUGCAUAUGAACGCCUCGAUUGAGCUGAGCACGAGGGAUAUUGAGGCCUCGGAUCGAAUAGCGCGUAUGCUUAUUGCAUAUUCUGUGCCGCGCGGUGUUCCCUUUGUCCUUUGCCAAAGGGAAGACUUUACAUUUGAAGACGUUGAAGAUGUGCGUGAACCACCAACCGAGAAAGAGCUGGAAGGUGAUCAGAGACGAUCCAUUCUAUACCAUG